AGGCUCGGAAGGCAGCAGCCGAGAAGAAUCACGUUGCGAGUG
rnacentral:SRP_RNA from 1 species